rnacentral:rRNA from 1 species
ACGGGUGAGUAACACGUGGGCAACCUGCCCCUAGCACUGGGAUAACCCCGGGAAACCGGGGCUAAUACCGGAUACGACUCCGGAGGGCAUCCUCCGGCGUGGAAAGAUUUAUCGGCUAGGGAUGGGCCCGCGGCCUAUCAGCUUGUUGGUGGGGUAACGGCCUACCAAGGCGACGACGGGUAGCCGGCCUGAGAGGGCGACCGGCCACACUGGGACUGAGACACGGCCCAGACUCCUACGGGAGGCAGCAGUGGGGAAUAUUGCACAAUGGGCGAAAGCCUGAUGCAGCGACGCCGCGUGAGGGAUGACGGCCUUCGGGUUGUAAACCUCUUUCAGCUCCGACGAAGCGAAAGUGACGGUAGGAGCAGAAGAAGCACCGGCCAACUACGUGCCAGCAGCCGCGGUAAUACGUAGGGUGCAAGCGUUGUCCGGAAUUAUUGGGCGUAAAGAGCUCGUAGGCGGCUUGUCACGUCGGCUGUGAAAACCUGGGGCUCAACCCCGGGCCUGCAGCCGAUACGGGCAAGCUAGAAUUCGGUAGGGGAGACUGGAAUUCCUGGUGUAGCGGUGAAAUGCGCAGA